GGGGCGUUAGCGCAGUUGGUAGCGCACAACACUGGCAGUGUUGGGGUCAGGGGUUCGACUCCCCUACGCUCCACCA
rnacentral:tRNA from 1 species